rnacentral:lncRNA from 1 species
GGCAGGAAGGUUAGGCCACUGGCAAAGUCCUCAGCGAGAGCCAGCUGAUCACAAAUGCCAACUGUGUGUCUUGGGGCCAGUUAAGUCCUCUCGUCUGCCCAAGCUCUCAGGACACCAUUUCAUUGCUCUCAGGGUUCCCAGGAGACUGCUGCGGACACGGACCAUCCCCCACUUGGCCCGCAUGGAUGGGGUGCUGAGCAGCGUCUUCAAAGUGCUCUUUCUCACCUCAAGUUUCCAUUUUAAAUAGUAAAAUGCUGGAGCUAGGAGAUAGGCAGAUAUUUUUCUCUCAUAUCAAAAAAGGAAGACCGUAAGCUAGGUGAUUAGCUGUAAGUGGGAAGCGAACUAUCAUCUCCAGUAGGAAUACUCACUUUUUGAGGAAGUGUGUGGAAGUUCUGCAGUCCCACCUUGCCCUAUGACCUUUAAUUCUCUUAGUUCUUCUGCCACAGGGAAGCACCGAACGACUAAUAAAAGAUUUGAUCUUGCCAUAAUUUCCCAAGCAGGGAUCAACAAAUUGAUAAAGCAAACUCAGAGGCCACAUCUUAUUAGACAGCAAGCUGCCUUCUUCUUUAUUAUGGGAGAAUCUUCAGUGGGCACUAUCCCUGCCUGGAGACCAACUGAGGUAGAGAAUUCUAGAAGUUUACACCAUAUCUUGAUUGUUAUCUGGAUGUUUGAACUUCUGGAUAUUUCUGUCCGAGGAAUACCCAGGAGAAGAUUCCUCUCCCCAUACACACCUGUGAUUUUCAAGUCCUUUUAUUCAUGCCUUUAAAUGAAAGGGUUGAGUAUACAAGACUCAGAUUCAUACCUUCCACAAAGCUGGAGGAAAAUGAAGAGCAAGAUGGCCGCAUCCCAGUCUGUGGAACCCAUUUCCCCAAAGCCUAAGCUUCCUUGGAGACCACCUUGUCUCAACUUAGGCAAUUUCAGGAAUGUAACAGAGAUCUAAGAAGAGGGUGUCACAACAGCAGCUUACCUGUGAUGAAAGGACAGAUGCAUUCCUUUCUUUCAUUUUCCUUCACUCUAGCCAGUGGCAGCCACUGCCUCAGGUUUUAUUUACCUUUCCUCAGGCCUGAUGAGGACAUUAUGUUCUUAAGAGAUCCCUUAAGGUUGUUUCAAAGGAACAAAAGAGUAGCGAGCAAAAGAAAAAAUCAUUAUAAUGAAAAAAAUGUUUUCCUUUAUCUCCUAUUUUUUUUUUUUUGGUAUGUUUUUGAGAGAUGUGAAGGAAAGAAAAGUACACCAUUUUCCCCCUAGAAUAAGAUUUUGGAUCAUUGCUGCAUUUGAUUACAUAUUUCUGCAAACUCUGUGUUCUUGAAGAAAACUAUAUUUUCUCAUGUUUUUUUUUUAAUGGAUGCCUGUGCCAAAAUUUGGCUCUCAUUUCACAGCAGAAAGGAGAGACUGCAUAGAUCCCAAAACUAUGAGCUGUAUGCGUUCCUCCUGCAAACUAUCCCCUAAUCAGGCAUCAAAAGUGUCUCAUUUUUGAGGUUAUAUUAAAUCUUUUUGUAUUUCCCUUUCUGUCCUAGAUGUUACAUGUCAGGAUGCAGCCAGAAUAGGUGUAACAUACCAUAGAGACUGUUGUUUGGUGCAGAGGGAGACACAGAGUUUGAUCAACACCUGCUUGCUGAGGUGGGCUGGAGCCCAGGAGAGCUGCUGCAGGGAUAGGAACAGAGUCUGGCAGGAAAUGUGUAAUAUUUAGGGGACAUUGAUUCAGAGAUCCCUAGAGUGCUACAAGAAAGAGUUUGAAAUUGAGAAGGAAUCAAGUAGAUGCACAUUCUGACUCUAACAUUAAUUUUCAUUGGAGUUCUUUAAGAUUUCAUUUGAAAAAAAUAGAAUUCUGUUGCAAGAAGAAAGAAGAAAAGGAAAGAGAAUAAUUAGAUGAUGAUGAUGAUGAUGAUGAUGAUGAUUUUGGGACUGGGGAGUAAUCCAGGGGUGCUUAACCACUGAGCCCCAUCCACAGCCCUUUUUUGUAUUUUAUUUAGCGACAAGGUCUCACUAAAUUACUUAGGGCCUCCCUAAGUUGCUGAGGCUUGCUUUUAAAUCAUGAUUCUUCUGUCUUAGCCUCCAGAGCUGCCGGUAUUACAGAUGUGCGGCACCAUUUUAAUAAUUAUUGAGACAGUUUAAAAUAGGAUAGUCUGGUUCACAAUAUGUCAUCCAUAUUAUCUGUGCUUGGCACAUAGUGGGCAUUUGGUGCAUAAUUCAGCAAUUUCAUUUAAAAAUUGUCUGAAUAAAUAAAUGAAAUAAAUAAAUGAAAGUAUCACAGAUCAGUUGUUAACAGGUGAGCUGAGACUAUGUAAUGGGAUAUAGCAACAGAUAAACAGAGAACAGUAUUGAUUAAUUCAAAAGGUAAAAAGGCAGACAGGUAGUGCCUAAGUCUGCUGACUGGAAGUAAGGUCCUAGACAUUGGGGCACAUUCUGGGGCCUGGGAGAGGGCCUGGGUAGAGGAGGGCAGGCUGAAUUAUGACAGCAGACAAAGCAGGGAUUGACCUAGCACUUGCAGCAAAAUAGGAAUGCAGUUUUCAAAGGUGACACUAGGCUAGGGGCAGACUUUCAGAAGGGAGACUCAAGUACUUAAGUUGGUCCCACCUAAUCUGAUAGGCUCUGGGAGCUGGGGUGAAUUGGCAAACAAUCUCAGUCAUGAUUAGAACUUGGGGACAGAAGCUAAAAUCCAGCCUGGGUUUUCACUUAAUCUCUUUUCCCAUGUUACCAGCAAUAAACUCAGUUUCCUAAGUUUAUUCGGCAAUUUCUUUUAUCUUUAAAAAGGUUUCAUUGGGGAAAAAUCACAGCUGGGUAAGGGAAAAGGUGACUUUUAGAGGCAAGAGAAAGAAUUGAGGGAGCUCUAUAAGCCAUUUCACAUCUCACAUCGAAGAGUUUGAAAGCCACUGAUACAAUACCUACCAGGUAACUUCUUCACAUUCACAGUUAUCACGAGUGAAUGAAGUAAAUUAACUUUCUGGACAAAAAGUCUGAUCACACAAAACAAAAUGUUCUUUAUCAGAGUGCCAUGAAAUAUGGAGCAUUCUCUACAAUGCAAUAAUACAGUAUUUACCAAGAAGAUUAAGAUUAUACUUUUAUUUAAUUAAUGUUUACUAUGAGACUGUACAUGCUCAUGAUAAAAUAUUUAAACAGGGUAGAAAUAAAGUAAAUGUGGUCUUCUUCCUUUGUUCAGUAUCAUUCACAAGAAUGUCAAAAAGUGUAUUAUAAAUGGUUUUAAAAAUAUUCUAUAAAUAAGCAAAUGUAUGUGUUUGUAUUUUUCUUACACAAGUGGAAUCAUAACAUAUUGAAGUUUUGCAACCUGUUUUCUGUAAAUAAUAUUUCUUGAACUUCUUUCUAUGAAGGGACAUAUUGAUCUACAGAUCUACUUACUACAUUAAUCUAUAUAAUAUUCCAUCUUCAUGUAAGUUGUAUUG